GGUUAGAUUGAUCAAACUUGCAGCUGGUUUUCUCACAUAGUCUUCAGUGGAGGAAUGCAUCCCGAUUCCUGAGUAGUUCUUCUCGUCAUUUGAAGAUUUAUUAAGUUUCGCAGCUGCAUUGGUCUCUUGGCUGUUCUUGGACAGAGGAAUUGAUCAUGAGUCCGGUCCUGAGUUGAUUAUUGGUUAACUUUACGGCUGCUUUUCUUCAUUUGUCUUGGACAGAUCACGAGUUUUGUACAAUACGAGGACGUAAUGUGACACUUGUUGUCUUUGCUGGUUAUUUUUACGGAGAUUGUAUACUUAGAAGGGAACUCUGAUCCAAGUUUCUGUUCUCUCGAAAAUCUCUUGCCUGCUGUCUAUCGUGCUAUGUGGUAACAAGAUCUUGAACCGAUGGGUUAGAUUGAUCAAAUUUGCAGCUGGUUUUCUCGCUUGGUCUUGGGACGGAGAACGGUUGAAGAUUGCUUAAGUUCCGCUGCUGUUUCUGUGUCUUUCUCUUGGACGGAGGAAUUCAUCAUUAGCAGUUAGUACUCAUCAGUUGACGAUUGACAAAUUUUGCUGCUGGAUAUCUUUCUUCAUCUUUGUCAGAGGAAUUCAUCAUGAGUAGUCAUCUUGAGGAA